UCUCCGUAGGUGAACCUGCGGAGGGAUCAUUACCGAGUGAGGGCUCACGCCCGACCUCCAACCCUGUGUGAACACAUCUUGUUGCUUCGGGGGCGACCCUGCCGUCCGCGGCUGAGCGCCCCCGGGGUCAAUCAAACACUGCAUUCUCUGCGUCGGAGUAUUAGUAAAUCUAAUCAAAACUUUCAACAACGGAUCUCUUGGUUCUGGCAUCGAUGAAGAACGCAGC
rnacentral:misc_RNA from 1 species